AUUUGCCUAAGUGAGGCAGGUUGGCAAACACCCAGGCUCUGCUCUGACUGUAACUGGCUACCACCUACUGAGCAUGUCUCCAUCCUCUUGGCUAUGGCUGGGCAGACAUUGUCUCUCCUGUGUGUGCGGGCUAAUUCCCUCAACGCAAGAUACUAAGUCAUGGCUGGCUCAUCACACUGGCUCGCUAUGAAGUGGAGUCUACUAGAGUCCCCAGAGUAUGAGAAGGUCCCCUCGAGACCCUCGAAUAAUUGAACCUGCUGGACAGGUCAAGUGGCGCCCAACGUGGGGCACGGGGUACUACCGCCCUCUGGACAACGGAUUAAAGAGGUACCACACAGACAGUGAGAUAGUGGGACAGUCCCCCGCCACUUCGCUCGAGUGUCGCAGAUGGACGUCGGAGAGCUCAAGUGACCUUCUCAGUCAAACCGUUCACAUUGCGAGCUGCUGGCGGCUGCAACAUUUUGGCGCUUGAACAGGGACCUGAAGAAUGGCAGAGGGAGGCUAAGAGAAAUGCUGCUGCUGUGGAGCUCCACAGGAAAGGAUCUUCGUAUCGGGCAUCGGAGCAACGGACAGGAUUGCCAUGGACAGAUCUCUCACAAUAUUGAUGAUGCUGGUCAUGACGGCGACAGCCAGGCAAGCCCAGACCUAUCAGGUUUUUAACUAUAACUAGAUUAUUCAAAAUCAGGCUGGAGACAUAGUUAACUCCAGCUCCAAGAUUGGUGACGAGCCCCAUUGGCCCAAGUUAGAAGUAGACAUCUGUGUCCUCACAUUGGGUGCAGAUGCCGCCUGGGGCACCCCUGAUUAUUAUAUGCCUCAAUUAACAGCAGUUAACACAGGUGAUAAAAAGACUGAUUCAGG